AUGGAGAGGAAGCCGACGAAGAAGCACGCGAGGACCAGGAGCGGCGCGCUGGCGUCCUUCCUCAGGUCCACGGCCGCCUCCUUCUCCUCCUCCACGGCCACCACCUUCGGCUCCCGCCCCGCCGGCGGCGGCAAGGCGUCCUUCAACCACCGCAACGCCUUCUCCGGCCCCAUGGUCUCCAUCGUGCCGCCCGAGGCGCGCGGCGGCGGCGGCGGCAGGAGGCGGGGCGGUAGUAAGCAGGGGGGCGGCAGCGGGUACCGGACGCCCGAGGCCUCGUCGCCCAAGGUGUCGUGCAUCGGCCAGAUCAAGCGGAGCAAGUCCAAGACCAGCAAGGCCAGGAAGGCGGCAAAGAACGUCGCCCCCGCGGCCGCCUGCGGGAUGGACGGCGGCGCCUGCCCCAUGCCGCCGCGGCCGCCGGUCCACAGCAGGCCAAAGAGGUCGCUCGUCAGGCGGAUGUUCUCCCGACGGAGCAGGUCGCGGCCUUCGUCCUCCUCCUCGUCCCACAAGUCGAGCGGCGCUGCCGAUCUUUUCAAGGGGAGGCCGGGGAGCAGCGCCGCCGUGGCCGCUGCGCCGGUGUCGGGGCCGGGGAUGGCAGGGCUGGGGCAGAUGAAGCGGUUCACCAGCGGGCGCGGCGCGUUCCAGGACUUCGACUGGAGGGAGGCGGAGAGGAGGGGCUCCGACGUCGACGUCGACGACGAUUACGUGGACGACGGGUUCGUGGCGUUCUCGGCGCCGCUGGUGCUGGGCGGCGGGGUGGUGGCGUCGGAGCCCAGGAAGGAGGUGAACCUGUGGCGGCGCCGCCCCAUGUCCCCUCCCACUCCUCUGGAGCUCCCCUGA
rnacentral:rRNA from 1 species